rnacentral:rRNA from 1 species
GGUUGCGAUCAUACCAGCACUAAUGCACCGGAUCCCAUCAGAACUCCGCAGUUAAGCGUGCUUGGGCGAGAGUAGUACUAGGAUGGGUGACCCCCUGGGAAGUCCUCGUGUUGCAAUCC